rnacentral:tRNA from 1 species
UAGCUCAGCUGGUAGAGCGACAGACUCUUAAUCUGUUGGUCGUGGGUUCAAAUCCCAC